rnacentral:rRNA from 1 species
CAGCGCCGCGGUAAUACGGAGGAUCCGAGCGUUAUCCGGAAUUAUUGGGUUUAAAGGGUGCGUAGGCGGAUAGAUAAGUCAGUGGUGAAAGACGGUGGCUCAACCAUCGCAGUGCCGUUGAUACUGUUUAUCUUGAAUAUGGAUGAGGUAGGCGGAAUGUGGCAAGUAGCGGUGAAAUGCAUAGAUAUGCCACAGAACACCGAUUGCGAAGGCAGCUUACCAAGGCAAAAUUGACGCUGAGGCACGAAAGCGUGGGGAUCGAACAGGAUUAGAUACCCCCGUAGUCCCUGUCUCUUAUACA